rnacentral:misc_RNA from 1 species
AUAAAAAAAUUUUUUUUUUUUUUUAAAAAAAGGAAAUUAUAAUGUGAUAAAUUUAGUGAAUAGCAACACGUCAUUCAUUCCUAUAGUGGUGUUGUUGCCACACCACCACCAUUGCCUUAUUCAAGUUCUCUUUUGUGGCUUAUGUUCUGCUCAUGUUUGUGGUUAAAAUCAUAAAUUUUGUAUCAUUUUGAUCAAUGGCUGUAAAAUUCUUAAUCUUGCAAUGCAUUAACUAUUCUAUUCUUUAAGCAUUUUUCCCCUGAUUUUGUUGUUGUGGAGGAAACUUCAUUAGUAAUAACUGCAAAUAAACGAGGGGGACAGGAACAAAAAACUUUACAUAUUUUUCUUCCUAGUUGAUGAUACUUCCUUUCUUUUACCAUUUUUUUUCUCAAUUUUUGCAUGUAUGCUUUAAAUAAUAAAUUUUCUCAAGAACAAUAUAUGUAAUAGGUUAUAGCUUUCAUUAGUGCAUACUCAAAAUCUCCUUAGCUUGUGGUUAUAGCUUUUGUACCCCCAUUCAUUCAAUAGGUUAAUGGUAAAAGGGGGUAAUUUGUGGUUGAAAUGGUAUUUCAUGAUAUUAACGAUGUGUAAUUGUUACUUCGUUAGUGAACUAACAGCCAACCAAUUGAUGAUCUAAAGCAUUAUUGGACUGUGAAGGAAUGGAAAUUGUAAUGCAUAGGGCAAAACUUGAAAGUGUUUAUUUCAAUUUAUACUUUUUAAAAUGUGGGUUAGUUUUGGGGAGGUUUUGAAGCUAGGGCAUUCUUUUAAUCAAUUUAACUAUUUAUGCUUCUUUUUGCACAAGCAUUCAAAGGUGACAAGGUUUCUCUAUGAGAACUUGAUUAUUCCUCUUUUGAUUGCUGUAUCCUUACUGUAUUAUUCUUCCUAUCAUUUUCUUUCUUGACAGAGUAAAACUUCAGCUGGGACGUCAUCUACCCAGCCGGCUGCUGCACCUACAAUUACACCAAGUUCAAACUCAACUCCUGCUGUUGAAGUUCAAGCACCGGCCCCAAAGAGCACAUCUGCUUCUGAAACAGCAACAGCUACUGCACCAGCUGAUACCUAUGGUCAAGCUGCUUCAAAUUUAGUUGCUGGUAAUAAUCUUGACCAGACUAUUCAACAGAUAAUGGAUAUGGGAGGUGGGAACUGGGAUAAAGAAACAGUUACUCGUGCACUUCGGGCAGCCUAUAACAAUCCAGAACGAGCAGUGGAUUACUUGUACUCUGGUAUUCCAGAAGCAGCAGAAGUUGCUGUCCCAGUUUCUCAUUUCCCUGCAGGUCAGGCAACUGAAACAGGUGCAGCAGGAGCUGCACCUGCAUCUGGAGCACCUAAUACAUCUCCCUUGAAUAUGUUCCCCCAGGAGACACUUUCUGCUGGUGGUGGUGGUGGUGGCGGUGGCAGCUGCGGCGGAGUUGAGAGGACGGUGAGUUUGAGGAUCGAUUCCACGGCUGUAGAGCUUUCUUUUGAUAUGGGUAUUCCAAUAGUUCUUGAUCUCAUUGUCUGUUCUUCCAGGUAAGCGAGCAGCAAUAAGAGACCAUUUGUUUCCAAGUAAGCUGUGAAGUUUGAUGAUGAGUUCAUCUUCUUCUUCUGUGAAGUUUCCCCUCUUGAGAUCAGGUCUCAGGUAGUUUAUCCACCUAAGCCUACAACUCUUGCCACAUCUAAGCAAGCCAGCUGCCUUGGGGAGAGACCUCCAACAACCUUCUCCAUGAAGUUUGAUGUAGUUGAUAAGACGCUCAUCUUCCUCUUUGGUCCAUGCACCUUUGUUG